rnacentral:lncRNA from 1 species
CGCUGCUUGACUAGGUAUAAAAGAAUUUUUAAAACGGUCUGUUUUGAUUAAAGGAAGUUUAUACUUUUUUACGGUUCGAAGGCUGUCAAAAGACGUAUUUAAACUAGGUAAGAGAUUCUUUAAUUUAUGACUUGGAUCUUGUUCAAUUUGUUCAAAAAGCUUUAUACAUGAAUAUUCUCGUCUGUCAUAAAGUGAUUGUAAAUGUCCCUGUUCCAAGGCUUCCUUAUACCUCGUUCCAGGAAAAAUUAUCCUCAUUGCACGUCUUUGUACUCGUUCUAAAUCGUCGGACAGAUAUGUAGGAAGACUUGAAUGAAAAACUUCACAAGCAUAUUCCAGAAUCGACCUGAUACACACAUUGACGCAUUAUAGAAACCAAUUAAUAAUUCAAGCACGUUAGGUGAAAGAACAGCCCGAAAAUAAGUAAAACACACGCCAAAUCAUUGUGGGAGAAUGGGUUCAGGGUGAAGUGAACCAAUUAUAUACAUUAUACUCUCAAACUCUGGUCAACCCAAAGACUCAUUAAGCCUUAUGUUUUCAUCCCGCAGGCGUAUAUAUAAGACCUGCUAGGAGAGACUGAAUGCUCCAUAGGAGCUCUGCCUGAAGGGUAGCGACCCCCUCUGACAUAGACCUGAACCAAGGGGUGAUAAUCCCCUUGGACAGUACCUACGAUUCGACUGAUUAUAUUUACAUAAAUAACCAAAGUCUAUGGGCCUGAAGUUGACCAUUGGGAACACUUCAACCCCGAACCAAAGUUUAUUUGUUUGAACAUUUAAGUAUUUACAUAGCGAUAACUUUCCAUGUGAAAAUUGUUCGAUAGUUCGAUAGUCUUUCUUGACAAAUUGUUCUUGAACAGUCCUUGCAUAACAUUAGUUAGUACCCAUACAAUGCACCAGGAACAUGAACGGGUGGGUGGGUGGAAAUUUUCUUUCUCGGUAACAAGACAUUGCUCUUUAUUGGAAUAUUUGUCAAAGUGAACUCCCUUAUCACAUUGACCUUUGUCCUGCGUGUUCGUUGUUGACAUAUGAUUGGUCAGUUGAUCUUUCAUUCGGUUUUACACAUGCCCGGAGAAACAUUUGAACUUUGGAUUAUUGGAUAUCGCCUUUUUGUGGCUGUUGACAAGCUUAUCCUGUUACUAUGAGAUUAUAACUAGGUUUGAAGGUGACAAACGUGUUGUCUCAUUAACUUGAAUUUAUAUAUUGUUAUAUAUAAAUUUGCUUUAAUAAUUCAAGCACGUUAGGUGAAAGAACAGCCCGAAAAUAAGUAAAACACACGCCAAAUCAUUGUGGGAGAAUGGGUUCAGGGUGAAGUGAACCAAUUAUAUACAUUAUACUCUCAAACUCUGGUCAACCCAAAGACUCAUUAAGCCUUAUGUUUUCAUCCCGCAGGCGUAUAUAUAAGACCUGCUAGGAGAGACUGAAUGCUCCAUAGGAGCUCUGCCUGAAGGGUAGCGACCCCCUCUGACAUAGACCUGAACCAAGGGGUGAUAAUCCCCUUGGACAGUACCUACGAUUCGACUGAUUAUAUUUACAUAAAUAACCUGAGUCUAUGGGCCUGAAGUUGACCAUUGGGAACACUUCAACCCCACAAAUACACAGCAUGUGUAUUCCCCAUAGACGAACUCCCACCACAGCUGUAUUUGUAUACAAGACAGCUGCUGCCAGAUGAUAGUUAGACAUAUAUUUGGGCGUUACCAUCACUCAUACUAUAGCUGGAUAGUCAGGGAGGCCAGAAAAAACCUGGAAUAUACAGGAAACCUGGAUGGGGCCAAGACAA